GCCUGGGUGGCUCAGUCGGUUAAGCGUCUGACUUCAGCUCAGGUCACGAUCUCAUGAUUUGUGGGUUCGAGCCCCGCAUCGGGCU
rfam:Felis catus isolate Cinnamon breed Abyssinian chromosome E2, whole genome shotgun sequence.